UACGUAGGGGGCAAGCGUUGUCCGGAAUCAUUGGGCGUAAAGAGCGCGUAGGCGGCCCUGUAAGUCCGCUGUGAAAGUCAAGGGCUCAACCCUUGAAUGCCGGUGGAUACUGCAGGGCUAGAGUCCGGAAGAGGCGAGUGGAAUUCCUGGUGUAGCGGUGAAAUGCGCAGAUAUCAGGAGGAACACCGAUGGCGAAGGCAGCUCGCUGGGACGGUACUGACGCGUGAGGC
rnacentral:rRNA from 1 species